rnacentral:lncRNA from 1 species
CUAUGGUUGUGAAAGGUGCAAUAAAAUAAUGGUGCCUCAGUCUCCUGAGAAACUUAAGUGUUUAUUAUUGGAAUGCAGUCUUAGCAAUGCCUAUUAUGGUGCAUACUUUUGUGCUUUACGAGGAAGUUCUGGUGGUGCUUUCAGCUGGCGAAAAAAAAUUUUUCUGGAAAAAUAUUUCUAGGAAUGACUUCGUGUUAUACACAAGUGGCUAAAAAAUUUUUAAAAAUGAAUCACAGAUGGUCGAGUGGCAACAUUAGUACAGCUGGCAUGGAAUGACCCAUAUAGGGAUUGGAACAAAGCUGUACCUGAGGGGUGUAAUUGUUAUUUCAAUUCUGUGAGAGACUUGUGAAUCAUCACAGAUCACAUGUGACCUGCACGAAAAUGUACAUUGUUAUCGGACCUGAGAUAGUGAAACAUGUGGUGGCCCACUAUAGAAUAACUUGGCACUAAUUUACAAUAUCUUGAAUGCAUACUUAGGCCAUGUCUUUAUGUUCAGUGAAUUUUGUAUAACAUUUCAUAAGUUAAAUAAUUACAUUAAAAGGUCUGGUGUUAUGCAGCCUUCAAAAUUGCAGACAACUGGCUGUAGGCUUAGGUUGCAUGUGGCACAGAUGUGUUUUCUCUUCCUGCAAGAUCAUCUUGGUGGUAGAACCUAAAGAAAUUUAAUGCACAAAUGGCAGUGCAAGUGACAAAAACAUGCUGCAAAUUGCAAGCAUUUUAUUGAUUCUUUUAACUUUAUGUUUAGGCUAAACUUUGAUCAUGCAGCAUAGGUAAUGGCAGUAUUGUUCUUCUAACAGCCGGAAAGCUUGUGCCUGUUGCAAGUGUUGUCAUUGUACGUAUUAAUUACACUGCACAUUAAUAGUAGCAGAGCACUGAAUGUGUUCAGGAUUGUUGGCAACAGGCUUAAAAACCAGUUUCUGUUCUGGAACCUUGGCAAGAAGACAAACUGUGUGGCAAUUGCUUCCGUACAUGGUAUGCAGAAUAAAUUUUUUAAAUUAAUUAUUUUUAAGGCAUUUUUUAAAUCUUGCAGCGAGUUUAAUUUCAAUGUUCCCUUGGGUGUAUUGGGUGUAUAACUUUCGUUUUAUAAAUUUAAAAGUAGCUCAAUAACAAAAUGUCAAAGAGCCAGUUGUUAUCGGCAAGGUGCAAAUCAACUGGACUGACACUUUUACACAUUUGAGCAGCUGCUCUGCAGUUUUACAUUCUUUUCAAUCAUUUAAUUAUUGACUCACUGAGCAUUAGAAUAGGUUUUUCACAGAGUUCAGCUGGGCAUACUGCAUUCACUCUGUAGGUGAUCGCAGUGAACCAGCCUUCAUGCUAGAAUAUGUGCAACUUGUACAUAUUACCUCUACUGUUUGCACGUUUUACUAUGGAAUACUCUCCGUCCUCGAAAUGUCCCAUCACGAGGUAAUGCUGAUAGCAAAUUAGCAGACAAAGGAAACUGAAAUUUUUAGGACCAUUUAUCACUCAAAUGUGCACAUUGUGCUGUGGUAGAUGAUCAAUUAUUUUCAAAUAUAUUGUACAAAGAUCAAAGGCCGCUUCAUCUUAUGUUGGGGAAAAUGUGGGUUAGCCUAUGGAAAUAUAUUUUUUCCAGUUGUGUGAAUGCUGUGAAUGUUGCAGCAUAGUAGAAGCAGGAUGCUAUACACAAGAAUCUCACAUUGAACAUUUGAAAGUAGAAGCAAUAAAGGAAGUUAAUAAACCUUA